rnacentral:rRNA from 1 species
UACGUAGGGUGCAAGCGUUAAUCGGAAUUACUGGGCGUAAAGCGUGCGCAGGCGGUUAUGCAAGACAGAUGUGAAAUCCCCGGGCUCAACCUGGGGACUGCAUUUGUGACUGCAUAGCUAGAGUACGGCAGAGGGGGAUGGAAUUCCGCGUGUAGCAGUGAAAUGCGUAGAUAUGCGGAGGAACACCGAUGGCGAAGGCAAUCCCCUGGGCCUGUACUGACGCUCAGGCACGAAAGCGUGGGGAGCAAACAGG